rnacentral:lncRNA from 1 species
GCUCAAGCGAUCCAUGAACUUCUGCCUCCCAAAGUGCUGGGACUGCAAGGAUUUUAGCAUCGAUAUUAUGGAAGCUAUGCCUGGACUCAACAACACGAACUUCUACUCACCAAGGCUGAUCUUGUACUAAUACUAAGUGCCCAACCUGACAACAGAGAAGAUGAUGAGCCUUUAUAAGACACCAUUCCUUAGGGGCAUCAGCCAGUCCCAUGGUGGUAGGAUUAUUACAUGGGACACCUUUCAUCAUGAUGAAAACAGAAACUUUUCCUCAUGGAAAUGAAUAUGUAUUUUAGACACACAUUUACCUUCUUUGCUGACAAUGAUUCUGUCAUCAUCAUCUCCAUGGACUUCCAGAAUGCCUUAAUCAUCAUCAGAGUAUCCUACACAAAGUUGUCUCUGACCAAGG